UUAAGCGACUAAGCGUACACGGUGGAUGCCCUGGCAGUCAGAGGCGAUGAAGGACGUGCUAAUCUGCGAAAAGCGUCGGUAAGGUGAUAUGAACCGUUAUAACCGGCGAUGUCCGAAUGGGGAAACCCAGUGCAAUUCGUUGCACUAUCGUUAACUGAAUACAUAGGUUAACGAGGCGAACCGGGGGAACUGAAACAUCUAAGUACCCCGAGGAAAAGAAAUCAACCGAGAUUCCCCCAGUAGCGGCGAGCGAACGGGGAGCAGCCCAGAGUCUGAAUCAGCUUGUGUGUUAGUGGAACGGUCUGGAAAGUCCGACGGUACAGGGUGAUAGUCCCGUACACCAAAAUGCACAGGUUGUGAACUCGAAGAGUAGGGCGGGACACGUGGUAUCCUGUCUGAAUAUGGGGGGACCAUCCUCCAAGGCUAAAUACUCCUGACUGACCGAUAGUGAACCAGUACCGUGAGGGAAAGGCGAAAAGAACCCCGGCGAGGGGAGUGAAAAAGAACCUGAAACCGUGUACGUACAAGCAGUGGGAGCACCUUCGGGUGUGACUGCGUACCUUUUGUAUAAUGGGUCAGCGACUUAUAUUCUGUAGCAAGGUUAACCGUAUAGGGGAGCCGCAGGGAAACCGAGUCUUAACUGGGCGUUAAGUUGCAGGGUAUAGACCCGAAACCCGGUGAUCUAGCCAUGGGCAGGUUGAAGGUUGGGUAACACUAACUGGAGGACCGAACCGACUAAUGUUGAAAAAUUAGCGGAUGACUUGUGGCUGGGGGUGAAAGGCCAAUCAAACCGGGAGAUAGCUGGUUCUCCCCGAAAGCUAUUUAGGUAGCGCCUCGUGAAUUCAUCUUCGGGGGUAGAGCACUGUUUCGGCUAGGGGGUCAUCCCGACUUACCAACCCGAUGCAAACUACGAAUACCGAAGAAUGUUAUCACGGGAGACACACGGCGGGUGCUAACGUCCGUCGUGAAGAGGGAAACAACCCAGACCGCCAGCUAAGGUCCCAAAGUCAUGGUUAAGUGGGAAACGAUGUGGGAAGGCACAGACAGCCAGGAUGUUGGCUUAGAAGCAGCCAUCAUUUAAAGAAAGCGUAAUAGCUCACUGGUCGAGUCGGCCUGCGCGGAAGAUGUAACGGGGCUAAACCAUGCACCGAAGCUGCGGCAGCGACACUAUGUGUUGUUGGGUAGGGGAGCGUUCUGUAAGCCUGCGAAGGUGGCCUGUGAGGGUUGCUGGAGGUAUCAGAAGUGCGAAUGCUGACAUAAGUAACGAUAAAGCGGGUGAAAAGCCCGCUCGCCGGAAGACCAAGGGUUCCUGUCCAACGUUAAUCGGGGCAGGGUGAGUCGACCCCUAAGGCGAGGCCGAAAGGCGUAGUCGAUGGGAAACAGGUUAAUAUUCCUGUACUUGGUGUUACUGCGAAGGGGGGACGGAGAAGGCUAUGUUAGCCGGGCGACGGUUGUCCCGGUUUAAGCAUGUAGGCUGGUUAUCCAGGCAAAUCCGGAUAAUCAAGGCUGAGGUGUGAUGACGAGGCACUACGGUGCUGAAGUAACAAAUGCCCUGCUUCCAGGAAAAGCCUCUAAGCAUCAGGUAACAUUAAAUCGUACCCCAAACCGACACAGGUGGUCAGGUAGAGAAUACCAAGGCGCUUGAGAGAACUCGGGUGAAGGAACUAGGCAAAAUGGUGCCGUAACUUCGGGAGAAGGCACGCUGGUGUGUAGGUGAAGUCCCUGCGGAUGGAGCUGAGACCAGUCGAAGAUACCAGCUGGCUGCAACUGUUUAUUAAAAACACAGCACUGUGCAAACACGAAAGUGGACGUAUACGGUGUGACGCCUGCCCGGUGCCGGAAGGUUAAUUGAUGGGGUUAUCCGUAAGGAGAAGCUCUUGAUCGAAGCCCCGGUAAACGGCGGCCGUAACUAUAACGGUCCUAAGGUAGCGAAAUUCCUUGUCGGGUAAGUUCCGACCUGCACGAAUGGCGUAAUGAUGGCCAGGCUGUCUCCACCCGAGACUCAGUGAAAUUGAACUCGCUGUGAAGAUGCAGUGUACCCGCGGCAAGACGGAAAGACCCCGUGAACCUUUACUAUAGCUUGACACUGAACAUUGAGCCUUGAUGUGUAGGAUAGGUGGGAGGCUUUGAAGCGUGGACGCCAGUCUGCGUGGAGCCAACCUUGAAAUACCACCCUUUAAUGUUUGAUGUUCUAACGUUGGCCCCUGACCGGGGUUGCGGACAGUGUCUGGUGGGUAGUUUGACUGGGGCGGUCUCCUCCCAAAGCGUAACGGAGGAGCACGAAGGUUAGCUAAUCCUGGUCGGACAUCAGGAGGUUAGUGCAAUGGCAUAAGCUAGCUUGACUGCGAGCGUGACGGCGCGAGCAGGUGCGAAAGCAGGUCAUAGUGAUCCGGUGGUUCUGAAUGGAAGGGCCAUCGCUCAACGGAUAAAAGGUACUCCGGGGAUAACAGGCUGAUACCGCCCAAGAGUUCAUAUCGACGGCGGUGUUUGGCACCUCGAUGUCGGCUCAUCACAUCCUGGGGCUGAAGUAGGUCCCAAGGGUAUGGCUGUUCGCCAUUUAAAGUGGUACGCGAGCUGGGUUUAGAACGUCGUGAGACAGUUCGGUCCCUAUCUGCCGUGGGCGCUGGAGAAUUGAGGGGGGCUGCUCCUAGUACGAGAGGACCGGAGUGGACGCAUCACUGGUGUUCGGGUUGUCAUGCCAAUGGCACUGCCCGGUAGCUAAAUGCGGAAGAGAUAAGUGCUGAAAGCAUCUAAGCACGAAACUUGCCCCGAGAUGAGUUCUCCCUGAGACUUUAAGUCUCCUGAAGGAACGUUGAAGACGACGACGUUGAUAGGCCGGGUGUGUAAGCGCAGCGAUGCGUUGAGCUAACCGGUACUAAUGAACCGUGAGGCUUAACCUU
rnacentral:rRNA from 1 species